rnacentral:rRNA from 1 species
GAAAACCACGGUGGUACAGGAUGGGCCCGCGUCUGAUUAGUUAGUUGGCAGGGUAACGGCCUACCAAGACAACGAUCAGUAGCCGGCUUGAGAGAGUGGACGGCCACAUUGGGACUGAGACACGGCCCAGACUCCUGCGGGAGGCAGCAGUGGGGAAUAUUGCACAAUGGGGGGAACCCUGAUGCAGCAAUGCCGCGUGGGUGAAGAAGCACUCCGGUGUGUAAAGCCCUGUCAGCAGGGAAGAAAAUGACAGUACCUGGACAAGAAGCCCCGGCUAACUACGUGCCAGCAGCCGCGGUAAUACGUAGGGGGCAAGCGUUAUCCGGAUUUACUGGGUGUAAAGGGAGCGCAGGCGGCGUGGCAAGUCAGAUGUGAAAACCCGGGGCCCAACCCCGGGAGUGCAUUUGAAACUGCCAUGCUGGAGUGCCGGAGAGGUAAGCGGAAUUCCUAGUGUAGCGGUGAAAUGCGUAGAUAUUAGGAGGAACACCAGUGGCGGAGGCGGCUUACUGGACGGUAACUGACGCUGAGGCUCGAAAGCGUGGGGAGCAAACAGGAUUAGAUACCCUGGUAGUCCACGCCGUAAA